rnacentral:lncRNA from 1 species
AGGAUUUGGCAAAGCAUUUGGGGAAGAUCAUAGCCAAUCUACAAAAAAGGGUUUUAUCUAUAUCUUUGUAUUUUCUCCAUUAUUUAGCCAUAUUUGUAAUACAUUAGAUGAAUAUUCUCCUUGAUUAUCAUUUAUUUAACAUGGGCUAAGUAUUUUGUUGGGAUUUAUGGUAGUAGCUUGACUUAGGUUUAAUUGAUUUUCAAUAUUUGCUAUUUGAUAUUAAAUUGCCCAUUUCCAUGUGUUUCUAUUAUCGUAUUUAUUGCAUUUUCAUUUAUG